AACACGGUGAGGUGGUGGGUGAUGCAUUUCAGCAAUAAUACUGUCAUAGGUGCUGUGAAACAGUGGGUCACUUCCACAGGUGCAGACUUCUAUGAGUGCAGCAUACAGACUCCUGUUCAUUGCUGCCAAAAAUGCAUAGCUGAUGGUGGUGACUCUGCUAAGAAAUGGUGCUUUGUAGGUGAGAAUGUGCUCUUUCAAAUAGCGUUCCUGUGCUCUUUUUACCUGUCGUAGUUUCUAUGGAAAUAAAUAGGAGACAUUACUUUCAGACUGAGCUGCGUAUUUGACAGCAGUUUAUUUCUGCUUCCAGAACUCAGCAUUGCUCCUUCAUCAUUUACGUUAGGAUACUGUCAUUAGCACCAUUUGAGAAGUCCAGCCUUGUUUGUCCAGUACUGUUGCUCUCUCAGCAGGUGACCUCAUGCUGAAAUCCUCUCUAAGGAAGUGAUUUCUGCUAGUUUGUAAAUGUCUUUCCCAGCUUUGUCUUAAACAGGGCAUCUAUAACAGACCCCAUCAAAAUUUGCCUCAUUUUCAUCUCAUCUCAGUUCUCAUCUACAAUUUCAAAUAUCAGCACUACAUAAUCAAGGAGUACCUUAACAUUAAGCAUAAAUCCCCCUCCUCAUCUUCCCUAUCUGUUCUUCCUAAGCAGCCUGUACCCUCCCAUGCCCAUGGUCCAAUAAUGCACAAUAUACCACCAUGAUUCCAACUGUGUUCUCUGUCUCCCUUUCAAAAUGUUGUAUUUGCAGCUAUUCCUCUGCCAAUUAUGGACUUAGCUUCUGAUGAUGACGCCAAUUUCAUGCUCUUGUCUUGCACUUUCACUGCAAAAACUUUAUUUCUUAUUUCUCAGAUGCAGACGUCCAAAGGUCUAGACAAAGAUGAAGUUAAAUUUCCAAACUUGGCAUGGAAACUGCUCCCUGGAAAUUCAGGAUCCACUGGGCAUUCCCUCUUCAUGCAUAGGAGUACUCAGUAAUCUGAACUACUGGAUCCAGAAGCCAGACGGAUUAAGCCCCAGAAAACUCUGACCCACUUCCUCUGUCCAAGUGUGGGGCAGCCAAGUCAGCACCUGUUCUUGACAAGGGAGAGGUUUGCAAGAGGAGGCAGCCAUGUCCUGAUGGGAGGAGGGAAGAGGGAUCCUGACACCACAGAUGUUCUGCCAUCCCUGUUGUCAUUGCUGCAGAGCCUGGAGUCCAGUGGUACGAGAAGGAAACCACAGCACAGCUGGAAGAGGCAGAACGUGAGAAAUCCAUGGAUGCAGGCAGUCCUGCACAGCAGUACAGUGGUGAACAUAGUGCUGACGCUUCCCACAGUGGAGACGACAUCCAGACAUGCUGGAAACAGAUUAUACCCCAUUUUCUGAAAGUUCCUGUAAAAUAUUCUGAGUUGGAAAGACUACACGAGAAUUACCAAGUUCAACUCCUGUCUGCACAUAGGACUACCUAAAAAUUAAAGCAUAAUUCUGAGUAUUGUUUAAAUGUCUAUCUACUAUGGCUGCAGCAGAGAUCUAACCAUGGCCAUGUAAAGUGUCUGACUGGCUCCAGAGGCCCUCAUUUGUUCACAUGCUAUUUUCACAAGACAGCAGAUUCCUGAUGCUGCAAUGGAUCUGUGCUAUGAAGCACUGUAUCUUUCCUCCAGAAAACUCACUGUAGCCCUGCGUCUGUCGCUACUGCAUCACAGUUCUCCUCAGAGUACACAGUACUUUGCCUUGCCAUCCCCAAUUUCUCGAAAAGCAAAGGAAAAUUCACCAAGCAGAGGG